AAAUGUUCUUCGUGAACAUGGCGGACUGCGUCAGUAACACGUGGAUAACCUGCCCUUAGGAUUGGCAUAACACCGGGAAACUGGUGAUAAUACCGAAUAGACCAUUUAUGCUGGAAUGCUUUUUGGUUCAAAGGCUUCGGCUGCCUAAGGAUGGAUCUGCGGCCUAUCAGGUAGUAGUGGGUGUAAUGUACCUACUAGCCUACGACGGGUACGGGUUGUGAGAGCAAGAGCCCGGAGAUGGAUUCUGAGACAUGAAUCCAGGCCCUACGGGGCGCAGCAGGCGCGAAAACUUUACAAUGCGGGAAACCGCGAUAAGGGGACACUGAGUGCCAGCAUAUUAUGUUGGCUGUCCACAUGUAUAAAAAUCAUGUGUUAGCAAGGGCCGGGCAAGACCGGUGCCAGCCGCCGCGGUAACACCGGCGGCCCGAGUGGUGAUCACUUUUAUUGGGUCUAAAGGGUCCGUAGUCGGUUUAAUCAGUCUUCUGGGAAAUCUGACAGCUCAACUGUUAGGCUUUCAGGGGAUACUGUUAGACUUGGGACCGGGAGAGGUAAGAGGUACUUUAGGGGUAGGAGUGAAAUCUUGUAAUCCUUAAGGGACCACCAGUGGCGA
rnacentral:rRNA from 1 species